CCUACGGGAGACAGCAGUGAGGAAUAUUGGUCAAUGGACGAGAGUCUGAACCAGCGAAGUAGCGUGAAGGAUGACUGCCCUAUGUGUUGUAAACUUCUUUUAUAAAGGAAUAAAACGCGGCACGUUUCCCUUUUUGCAUUUACUUUAUGAAUAAGGAUAGGCUCACUCCGUUCCAUCCGCCACGGUAAUACGGAGGAUCCGAGCUUUAUCCGGAUUGUGUGGGUGUAAAGGGAGCGUAGAUGGGUUGUUAAGUCAGUUGUGAAAGUAUGCGGCUCAACCGUAAAAGUGCAAUGGAUACUGGCAGUAUUGAGUACAGGUGAGGUAGGUGGAAUUCGUGGUGUAGCGGUGAAAUGCUUAGAUAUCACGAAGAACCCCGAUUGCGAAGGCAGCUUACUAAACUGUGACUGACAUUGAUGCUCGAAAGUGUGGGUAGCAAACAGGAUUAGAUACCCGGGUAGUC
rnacentral:rRNA from 1 species